UUUCCCAAUGCAGAUGACUUCCAUCAUACAGUCUUCAGCAACCUUGAAAGAUUGGACAAGCUUCAGCCCACUCUUGAAGCCUCUGAGGAGUCUCUAGUUCACAAGGACAGAGGAGAUGGAGAGAGGCCAGUCAACGUGAGGGUGGUGCAGGUGGCCCCUCUGAGGCAUGAAUCUAGUAAGUAUUCUGGAAUCACUUACCAAGAAAACAAUCUGGAUGCCAAGAAAGGUGUGGCAUCCUUGCCUGGUUUCAAUGUGAAGAGCCACCCUGAUCCUGGGAUUGUGAUAGGAAUAAGUAUAGGGGAAGUGUUUUUUUAA
rnacentral:lncRNA from 1 species